GUGGGGACCCUUCCAUGGUUUCUGCGUCGCAGCUAACGCAUUAAGCGCCCCGCCUGGGGAGUACGGUCGCAAGACUAAAACUCAAAGGAAUUGACGGGGGUCCGCACAAGCAGCGGAGCAUGCGGCUUAAUUCGAUGCAACGCGAAGAACCUUACCUAGACUUGACAUAUACGGAAAACAUGCAGAGAUGUAUGGUCCUAACGGGCCGUUUACAGGUGGUGCAUGGUUGUCGUCAGCUCGUGUCGUGAGAUGUUGGGUUAAGUCCCGCAACGAGCGCAACCCUCGUUCUAUGUUGCCAGCACGUAAAGGUGGGGACUCAUAGGAGACUGCCGGGGUCAACUCGGAGGAAGGUGGGGAUGACGACAAAUCAUCAUGCCCCUUAUGUCUAGGGCUGCACGCAUGCUACAAUGGCUGGUACAGAGGGCUGCGAUACCGCAAGGUGGAGCGAAUCCCAAAAAGCCAGUCUCAGUUCGGAUUGGGGUCUGCAACUCGACCCCAUGAAGUUGGAGUUGCUAGUAAUCGCAGAUCAGCAACGCUGCGGUGAUACGUUCCCGGGCCUUGUACACACCGCCCGUCACGUCACGAAAGUCGGUAACACCCGAAGC
rnacentral:rRNA from 1 species